UAUCAACACUUGUUCGGAUGG
rnacentral:siRNA from 1 species